rnacentral:lncRNA from 1 species
UCACACAAUACAGAACCGGAACAAAUCGAAAUCCCCAAGUCACUAAAUCCUUGCUCUCCUUCUCUCAGCCGUCCAAGUUCCAGCAAAUAGCAUCACAGAACCGGAACAACCAUCUUUUUCCCCGGCCACCGUGAGAUCCAGAUUUCAGACAACAACAACGGCGGCUCUCUAGUGACCAGUCUCCAGUCUCCACCAGCCAUCGUAAGUUAUUCCAUUUAUCUCGUUUCACCUUCUGCAAAUUUAGAAUCUAGAGUAAUUUAUUUGUCAAAUUGCAGACAUGUCCUGAUGUCCAUGUCCCCUGUGUCACCGAAAAUUUUGAUUUUUU